rnacentral:rRNA from 1 species
CCUACGGGUGGCUGCAGUCGAGAAUAUUCCGCAAUGGGCGAAAGCCUGACGGAGCGACGCCGCGUGAUUGAUGACGUACUUCGGUAUGUAAAAAUCUUUUAUAGGGGAGGAAGUUUAUUGACGUUACCCUAUGAAUAAGAGGUUGCUAAACUCGUGCCAGCAGCAGCGGUAAUACGAGUGCCUCGAGCGUUAUCCGGAAUUAUUGGGCGUAAAGGGUGUGUAGGUGGUCUAGUUAGUCGAAUGUUAAACCUCUCAGCUUAACUGAGAACAUGCAAUCGAAACGGCUAGACUUGAGGAUGCGAGAGGUUUGUGGAACUCUAAGUGUAGCGGUGAAAUGCGUUGAUAUUUAGGGGAACACCAAAAGCGAAGGCAGCAAACUGGAGCACUCCUGACACUGAAACACGAAAGCGUGGGUAGCGAAUGGGAUUAGAUACCCUGGUAGUCC